CUUCUUUGCAAAAACAAACCUUCAAUUCGAUUUACCCAGCUGUCACUCUUUCUUUUGCAAACAGCCUUUUUCGUGUUGAAUUAGUUCUUCUUCUCCGUUCUAAAUCUUUCCUUCUCUUGCCAGUUCUUCACGUGAUUCUUCAAAGAUAAUCGAUCAAUAUUCGUUCGGUUUUAUUUCUGAUGAGAUGGAAGAUACAGAGCGCACCCCUGCGGUUAAUACAACCUCUCCGGAUUUGCUGAAGAACACUCCUUCCAACAUCGCCAGGUUAGAAGACGUAAUCGAGCAAUGCCGUGGCAGGCAAAAGUAUCUCGCUCAGACCACAAGUCCUUCAGAUGGGAGUGAUGUUCGUUGGUACUUCUGUAAGGUUUCUUUGGCUGAACACGAGUUAGCUGCUUCAGUACCUGGCACUGAUGUAGUAGGAAAGAGUGAGUAUUUCCGUUUUGGGAUGAGGGAUUCUCUUGCCAUUGAGGCUUCUUUCCUCCAGAGAGAGGAUGAGUUACUUUCACUCUGGUGGAAAGAGUAUGCAGAAUGCAGUCAAGGCCCUAUUCCACAACUUAAUCCUAAAAGUAAAUCGAACAAGCACUCUACUGAAACUCUCUCAGAAGCUUCUGUGUCCUCUAGUCUAUAUGCACUCGAAGAGGAGAGGGUUGGUGUACCUGUUAAGGGUGGGCUAUAUGAGGUGGACUUGGUAAGGAGGCAUUGCUUUCCCGUGUACUGGAAUGGAGAUAACCGGCGCGUGCUUAGAGGCCACUGGUUUGCUCGUAAAGGUGGCCUAGACUGGCUUCCAAUUCCAGAAACUGUUGCUGAACAGUUGGAGAUUUCUUAUCUUAACAAGGUUUGGCAUAGAAGAAGGUUCCAACCCUCUGGGUUGUUUGCAGCUCGUGUCGAUUUGCAGGGUUCCAGUCUGGGACUUCAUGCUCUCUUUACUGGGGAGGAUAAUACAUGGGAAGCUUGGCUUAAUGUGGAUCCCUCUGGGCUCUCUGGCAUUGUUGGCUAUACUGGCAAUGGAAUUAAGUUGAGACGCGGUUAUGCAGGCUCCUACUCUCCUAAACCUACACAGGAAGAAGUACGCCAACAAAAGGAGGAAGAAAUGGAUGACUAUUGUUCACAAGUCCCUGUUAGACAUCUUGUAUUCAUGGUUCAUGGUAUUGGCCAAAAAGGUGAAAAGUCUAAUCUUGUUGACGACGUUGGAAACUUUCGCCAAAUCACAGCAGGUUUAGGGGAACGUCAUCUAACCUCUCAUCAGCUCGGCACUCAAAGAGUCCUUUUCAUCCCAUGCCAGUGGAGGAAGGGUUUAAAGCUAAGUGGUGAAGCUGCUGUUGAUAAAUGUACUUUAGACGGUGUACGGCGUUUGCGAGAGAUGCUGAGCGCAACUGUUCAUGAUGUGUUAUACUACAUGAGCCCCAUUUAUUGUCAGGCUAUUAUUGAUUCGGUCUCAAACCAGCUCAAUAAACUGUAUCUGAAAUUUAUAAAGAGAAACCCGGACUAUGAUGGAAAGAUUUCCAUAUAUGGACAUUCUCUGGGGAGUGUUCUCUCCUAUGACAUCUUAUGUCAUCAGCACAAUUUGUCAUCCCCAUUUCCAAUGGAUGCAGUAUACAAGAAAUUCUUUCCAGAUGAAGAAUCUCCUCCAAUUCAAGCUAGCGCUGAUGAACCUUGUAGUUCGCAUCAAUCAUCAAAAAUUGAGCCAGAGAAAUCUAACCAGUUGAAUAACACCGAGGAAAUCACAGGUGAAGAUAAUGACAUGAUGGAUAAAAAAACAACGUUGUUGGAGCAUCAAGAUGUCAUUCAAGAAGGUCCUUCGUUGGUCUCUGAUUCUGUAGUGGACAUCGUUAGUGCUGCUAUUUCCUCACAGGAUGGACCAGAUGGAGCUGACUGUAGAACGUAUGAUUCUUCUUCUUUUCCAGGACAAUCAUGGGAGAAAAAAUGUGAAAAUUCUAAAAACGAGGAGAUGAUCAAGUUAUUGCAGGAAGAGGUUAAAUCAUUGAGGUCAAAAGUAGCGCAACUGCAAUCAGAAAAUGCCAGAAUAACCGAUGAAAAAACCAAGACAUCUAUGAUACCUGAGAAGGCGCCAACUAAAGAUGCCACUGCACCUUCUAGCUUUACUCCUUAUAUCAAAUACCGAAAGCUGGAGUUCAAGGUUGACACUUUCUUUGCAGUUGGCUCUCCUCUUGGAGUCUUCCUUGCCCUUCGAAAUAUACGUCUUGGGAUAGGUAAGGGAAAAGAUUACUGGGAAGAGGGAAAUGUUAUUGAAGAGAUGCCAGCUUGUCGUCGAAUGUUCAACAUUUUUCACCCCUAUGAUCCUGUUGCGUAUAGAGUGGAGCCACUUGUCUGCAAAGAGUACCUUCCCAAACGACCUGUUCUUGUUCCUUACCACAGAGGUGGCAAGCGGUUGCAUAUUGGAUUACAGGAUUUCAAAGAGGAUUUUGCGGAGCGUUCACAGAGAUUAAUGAAUCAUUUUGUUUCAGCAAGGACAAGAGUUCUCACUAUUUGCCAAUCCAAAAGCUCGGAUGAACUAGAAGAGACUGAAGAAACCGAUGACGAAAAGGAUGGAAGGUCCUAUGGUUCCUUAAUGAUGGAAAGGUUGACUGGAACUCGAGAUGGUCGAAUAGAUCACAUGCUACAGGAAAAAACUUUUAAGCAUCCGUAUCUACAAGCUAUAGGAGCUCAUACAAACUAUUGGAGAGAUAAUGAUACUGCUCUGUUCAUAAUCAAACACUUAUAUCGUGAGUUACCAGACGAACCAAACUCGCCCAUGGAAUCCAGAGAAGGAGAUGAUAGUCCAAAAGACUCAAGUAGACCUCAUAGCUGGAUAGACAGAGGAGAGACUGAUGAUGCUGAUGAAGAGCUUCCUUUAACAUUCUCCAAUAAAGAAAUCGCAAGAAGCUUCUCUGCAGAAGCCAAGAAAUAUCUGAAGAAGCCUUAAACACUUUUGACCAUAGGUUUAAAUAUCUGAAGUCCAGCAAAAUAGCUCCCUGAUUUUGUUUUUGUUUACCGUGCAUAAGUAACAUGUGAUGCAGGAAAUGUGAAAAAAAGAAUACUCAAGACUAUUGGUUUGUCUCAUUGUAACUAUAAUUUUACAGAUAAUAAAGAGAGCUUCUUCCUUUGGGCAUAUUGUUUUGCUGUUAGCUGUGUUCAUUUUUUCAGGUCCGUGGUUGGAAGAUUUUAGCAGACAUUGGCUUAAAAAACCGAGUUAAGACUCUAAAGCUGCUCCGAGUUCAGGCCACACAAUAGCAGAGACCGACCACGAGCCAUCAUUACAGGCGCUAGGUUGCCAGUUCCAAGUAAGGGAGCGCCCAGUCCAAAAUCCAGUUCAGUCGUCCUGAAGACAAGAUCAAAGCGGGUCCUUGUCCGAGAAAUACCCGAGCUAACAUCAGUCCAGAUUUUCGUCGGUGGUUUCACCUACAGCUACAGACAAGACGUUGCCAAUGUAGCUCGAGG